rnacentral:misc_RNA from 1 species
UUUUUUUUUUUUUUUUUUUUUUUGACCCACAAAUCGCUAUGCUUUCAUUUAAUCCUCAAAACGGUCAGAGUACAAUGUAAAACAAAACAAAUCAAAAUAACAAGAAAUGGAAGCAUUCAGCUGCCCUUGUAGCAAGCAUCAUCCAUUAAUAUAAUACUAACAUCUAAAACCGGAAAUAUGAGAACUCCCUUUGCUUCUCUCUUAUUAUUUAAGAAGGGAUCUUGUUAGAUGUUCACGGGCAGUGGCCAGUGCUUGAGUUAAUGUCUGCUCGGAUAAUGGAGCUCCAGCAUCCAUGCUAUUACUUGCUACCUUCCCCGCUAUGAGAUUUGCAUCAGUUUCCAGAAUUAUUCCGCCAUCAACAAUUUCAUCAAGGCAUAACAGAAUGAGAUCUAGAUUCUCAAGUGCCUCUUUCUUGUCCACGUUGCCUCUUAGGAGAAGACCAACAGCAUCAAAAAAUCCCUGAAGAACUGUGGCUAAGAUGAGCUCAUUUUCAUCUUCACCUCCAGUAACAAAAAAGUGAAGAUCUUGAACAAACUUGUAAACAAUAAUGUUAUUCUCAAGCAUUGUUAUCUCCGCCUCAGUGCGGGCAUUAGUCCUCUGAGUUUUGGCAAAUACAACUUUCUCAUAAGCUUCCUUGGCAUUGUUUGUUGGCCAAUCAUCUGAAUAGUACUUAACAGCUACACGUUUUCCUUCAGAAUCCAAAAGAAGGAUAUUUUUUAUGGAAGGGCACGACUCCAUGUUGUUUGGCGAAUUUUGACGGAAAAUCGUCUGCGGAAUUUCUGAGAAAUUCUGUCAGAUCAACCAGAUCCAG